AGAGUUUGAUCCUGGCUCAGAACGAACGCUGGCGGCAGGCUUAACACAUGCAAGUCGAACGCUCGUAGCAAUACGGGAGUGGCAGACGGGUGAGUAACGCGUGGGAACAUACCCUCCGGUUCGGAAUAGCUCAGGGAAACUUGGAUUAAUACCGGAUACGGCUGAGAGGCGAAAGAUUUAUCGCCGGAGGAUUGGCCCGCGUUCGAUUAGCUAGUUGGUGAGGUAACGGCUCACCAAGGCGAUGAUCGAUAGCUGGUCUGAGAGGAUGAUCAGCCACAUUGGGACUGAGACACGGCCCAAACUCCUACGGGAGGCAGCAGUGGGGAAUAUUGGACAAUGGGCGCAAGCCUGAUCCAGCCAUGCCGCGUGAGUGAUGACGGCCUUAGGGUUGUAAAGCUCUUUCGCUCGGGACGAUAAUGACGGUACCGAGAUAAGAAGCCCCGGCUAACUUCGUGCCAGCAGCCGCGGUAAUACGAAGGGGGCUAGCGUUGUUCGGAAUUACUGGGCGUAAAGCGCGUGUAGGCGGGUCUUUAAGUCAGGGGUGAAAUGCCAAGGCUCAACCUUGGAACUGCCUUUGAUACUGGAGACCUUGAGUCCGGGAGAGGUGAGUGGAAUUGCGAGUGUAGAGGUGAAAUUCGUAGAUAUUCGCAAGAACACCAGUGGCGAAGGCGGCUCACUGGCCCGGAACUGACGCUGAGACGCGAAAGCGUGGGGAGCAAACAGGAUUAGAUACCCCGGUAGUCC
rnacentral:rRNA from 1 species